UCUAUAUCAGCUUUGAAAAAAUAAACUGGAUACACAAUACAUUUUAUUUUUAACAAAUUCCUGCUUUGAGCAUUUUUUCUUUGUCAAUGGUGAGUUGCAGAAUUUACUGGGAAUUAUUUGGCUUGUGUGGUCUCUCUUACAAAGAAGUUAUCAAUAAAAGGAAGCUGUUGCAAUAUAGUAAUCAUCCUUGCUGAACUCCGAGGAUAUAUACUUACUUACUCAAAGUAUAUACAGUUUUAAACAUAUGCACACUCAUUCACUCACACAUUUAUGUGUGUAUGUAUAUUUAUAUACAUAUAACUAAAGUGGAUAUAUAACAUGACAAGGUCUUUACUAUCUAUGAGUAUGGUUUGAGGAAGAUUUGGCUCCUAUUUCUAGCAGUCUCAUGAACGCUGCAGGUUUAUUCUGAAGUCAGGCUAAGUUGAUUUGGCGACCUUGCAUUCAUCCCUGCGGCUGCAGGCUUUUUCCUUUGCUCUCCUAAUUUUCCUUUUUUUUUUUUAAAAAAAAAAAAACAUUUCCUUGCGAUGAAAUAACUCCACGAGAAAGCAAAACUCGAAAAAUAUAAAGAGAAAGAACUGCAAAAAGAAUAUAUAUAUAUAUACAUGU
rnacentral:misc_RNA from 1 species